CGUGCGCUCGCGCCCCAGGGGCCGCCCCCGACACUCCAGUGCGACUCUGCGUGCACAGGCCAGAGGCUCAGAACCAGCGCCGGGCUGCCCUGCUCGGCCUCCUGGGCGCGCAGCGGCGUUUGCCCGUGCACGUGCCCUCGCAUCGCGCGCUCCGGGGCCGGGCUCCGGGCGGUUCUCGCCGCUGCAGUUCCACCGGGACUUCCGCGCUUCGGCGGCCUGUCUGACGAGCCGCCGCGCCCAGAGAGGUUCAGGUUGGAGCGACACUUCCCAGAGGGCAGCGGUCACGCCAGAUCUUUGGCUUCCAUUCCGUUUUCGCGCGCUUCUCCCACUUUGCAAGCUCUGGAUUCUCUUUGUUCUUUCCCAGUAGAGGAAUCCCAAGGAGGACUGAUCCGUUUUGGCAGGUGCACAACCAUGGAGUGAAAUCAUACAGUAUUUCUUUCUCUGUCUGACUUAUUUUGCUCAAGAUCCAUCCAUGUUGUCUCACAUGGGAGGAGUUUGUCUGUUUUUAUG
rnacentral:lncRNA from 1 species